ACAGCAGUCGCCGCGGGAAUACGAAGGGGGCUAGCGUUGCUCGGAAUUACUGGGCGUAAAGGGCGCGUAGGCGGACAGUUUAGUCGGGGGUGAAAGCCCGGGGCUCAACCUCGGAAUUGCCUUCGAUACUGGCUGUCUUGAGUACGGGAGAGGUGAGUGGAACUCCGAGUGUAGAGGUGAAAUUCGUAGAUAUUCGGAAGAACACCAGUGGCGAAGGCGACUCACUGGCCCGUUACUGACGCUGAGGCGCGAAAGCGUGGGGAGCAAACAGGAUUAGAUACCCCUGUAGUCCCUGUCUCUUAUAA
rnacentral:rRNA from 1 species